GCACUGCCUCUUCCCUGGCU
rnacentral:ncRNA from 2 species